AGUGAACGCUGGCGGUAGGCCUAACACAUGCAAGUCGAACGGCAGCACAGUGAGAUCUUGCUCUUACGGGUGGCGAGUGGCGGACGGGUGAGGAAUACAUCGGAAUCUUCUUUUUCGUGGGGGAUAACGUAGGGAAACUUACGCUAAUACCGCAUACGACCUACGGGGGAAAGCAGGGGAUCUUCGGACCUUGCGCGAUUGAAUGAGCCGAUGUCGGAUUAGCUAGUUGGCGGGGUAAAGGCCAACCAAGGCGACGAUCCGUAGCUGGUCUGAGAGGAUGAUCGGCCACACUGGAACUGAGACACGGUCCAGACUCCUACGGGAGGCAGCAGUGGGGAAUAUUGGACAAUGGGCGCAAGCCUGAUCCAGCCGUACCGCGUGGGUGAAGAAGGCCUUCGGGUUGUAAAGCCCUUUUGUUGGGAAAGAACAGCAGCAGGUUAAUACCCCGCUGUUCUGACGGUACCCAAAGAAUAAGCACCGGCUAACUUCGUG
rnacentral:rRNA from 1 species